rnacentral:rRNA from 1 species
GACGAACGCUGGCGGCGUGCUUAACACAUGCAAGUCGAACGGAAAGGCCCUGCUUUUGUGGGGUGCUCGAGUGGCGAACGGGUGAGUAACACGUGAGUAACCUGCCCUUGACUUUGGGAUAACUUCAGGAAACUGGGGCUAAUACCGGAUAGGAGCUCCUGCUGCAUGGUGGGGGUUGGAAAGUUUCGGCGGUUGGGGAUGGACUCGCGGCUUAUCAGCUUGUUGGUGGGGUAGUGGCUUACCAAGGCUUUGACGGGUAGCCGGCCUGAGAGGGUGACCGGCCACAUUGGGACUGAGAUACGGCCCAGACUCCUACGGGAGGCAGCAGGGGAGAAUAUUGCACAAUGGGCGGAAGCCUGAGGCAGCAACGCCGCGUGCGGGAUGACGGCCUUCGGGUUGUAAACCGCUUUCGCCUGUGACGAAGCGUGAGUGACGGUAAUGGGUAAAGAAGCACCGGCUAACUACGUG